AUUGAACGCUGGCGGCAUGCCUUACACAUGCAAGUCGAACGGCAGCGGGGGAGAAGCUUGCUUUUCCUGCCGGCGAGUGGCGAACGGGUGAGUAAUACAUCGGAACGUGCCCUGUAGUGGGGGAUAACUAGUCGAAAGAUUAGCUAAUACCGCAUACGACCUGAGGGUGAAAGUGGGGGACCGCAAGGCCUCAUGCUAUAGGAGCGGCCGAUGUCUGAUUAGCUAGUUGGUGGGGUAAAGGCCUACCAAGGCGACGAUCAGUAGCUGGUCUGAGAGGACGACCAGCCACACUGGGACUGAGACACGGCCCAGACUCCUACGGGAGGCAGCAGUGGGGAAUUUUGGACAAUGGGCGCAAGCCUGAUCCAGCCAUGCCGCGUGUGGGAAGAAGGCCUUCGGGUUGUAAACCACUUUUGUCGGGGAAGAAACGGUUUGGGCUAAUACCCUGAGCUAAUGACGGUACCCGAAGAAUAAGCACCGGCUAACUACGUGCCAGCCGCCGCGGUAA
rnacentral:rRNA from 1 species